rnacentral:lncRNA from 1 species
UCCACUCCCUCUCCUUUCAGUUCAGUCUAUACCUCAAUGCCAUGCUAAUCGCUUUACAAAGAGGCUAUGAUUAGUCUUCCUCUUGAUCAAAACUUUCACUAACAUGCCUUUAUGCUUCUACUUAAAAACAAAUUAAAUUAGUUGCAGCAUUUCUUCCUGAAAUAACUUUUAAAAAUAGUAUAGGGAAGAAGUGCUUUGACAAAGUUGAAAUGAGGAACAUGAAAGAUUUCAGCAACCAGAUUCUUUCUGUUUCUCAGUUCUGUGUUGACCUUUAUCUUCCCAAUUAGAAGGAACACUUCAUUUCUCUGCACUGGGGAAGAUGGCAAACAGCAGCCCCAGGCUUAGCAACCCUAAUGAACAAAGAUUUGGUGCCUUCUUCUGAUUAUGAAGCACUCCCAGAGUUGCUUAACCACUGAGCCACAUUCCCAGCCCU